rnacentral:rRNA from 1 species
AGUUAAACGGCCGCGGUAUUUUGACCGUGCAAAGGUAGCGCAAUCACUUGUCUUUUAAAUGAAGACCCGUAUGAAUGGUGAAACGAGGGCUUAACUGUCUCCUUUUCCAAGUCAAUGAAAUUGAUCUCUCCGUGCAGAAGCGGGUAUAAAAAUACAAGACGAGAAGACCCUUUGGAGCUUAAGAUUAAAAUCAACUAUGUCAAUAACAGUUUAAACCAAAUAGAAACUGAUUUAAUAUCUUCGGUUGGGGCGACCACGGGAGAAAACAAAACUCCCACGAGGAUUGGGAACUAUCCUAAAACUAAGAGAGACAUCUCUAAGCCACAGAAUUUCUGACCGCAAAGAUCCGGCCACUAGCCGAUCAACGAACCAAGUUACCCUAGGGAUAACAGCGCAAUCCCCUUUCAGAGUCCAUAUCGACAAGGGGGUUUACGACCUCGAUGUUGGAUCAGGACAUCCUAAUGGUGCAGCCGCUAUUAA